CCUACGGGUGGCAGCAGUGGGGAAUAUUGGACAAUGGGGGGAACCCUGAUCCAGCCAUGCCGCGUGUGUGAAGAAGGCCCUCGGGUUGUAAAGCACUUUCAGUGAGGAAGAACGCCUGGUGGUUAAUACCCAUUAGGAAAGACAUCACUCACAGAAGAAGCACCGGCUAACUCCGUGCCAGCAGCCGCGGUAAUACGGAGGGUGCGAGCGUUAAUCGGAAUUACUGGGCGUAAAGCGCGCGUAGGUGGCUUGAUAAGCCGGUUGUGAAAGCCCCGGGCUCAACCUGGGAACGGCAUCCGGAACUGUCAAGCUAGAGUGCAGGAGAGGAAGGUAGAAUUCCCGGUGUAGCGGUGAAAUGCGUAGAGAUCGGGAGGAAUACCAGUGGCGAAGGCGGCCUUCUGGACUGACACUGACACUGAGGUGCGAAAGCGUGGGUAGCAAACAGGAUUAGAUACCCUGGUAGUC
rnacentral:rRNA from 1 species